rnacentral:rRNA from 1 species
UACAGAGGGUGCAAGCGUUAAUCGGAAUUACUGGGCGUAAAGCGAGCGUAAUCGGUUAUUUAAGUCGGGUGUGAAAGCCCCGGGCUCAACCUGGGAAUUGCAUUCGAUACUGGAUAGCUAGAGUUCGGCAGAGGGAAGCGGAAUUUCCGGUGUAGCGGUGAAAUGCGUAGAUAUCGGAAGGAACACCGGUGGCGAAGGCGGUUCUCUGGGCCUGUACUGACGCUGAGGAGCGAAAGCGUGGGGAGCGAACAGG